rnacentral:rRNA from 1 species
UACGGGAGGCAGCAGUGGGGAAUAUUGCACAAUGGGGGGAACCCUGAUGCAGCCAUGCCGCGUGUGUGAAGAAGGCCUUAGGGUUGUAAAGCACUUUCAGACGUGAGGAAAGUUUGUUGGUUAAUACCCAACAGAUGUGACGUUAGCGUCAGAAGAAGCACCGGCUAACUCCGUGCCAGCAGCCGCGGUAAUACGGAGGGUGCAAGCGUUAAUCGGAAUUACUGGGCGUAAAGCGCGCGUAGGCGGCUUGUUAAGCCAGAUGUGAAAGCCCCGGGCUCAACCUGGGAACUGCAUUUGAUACUGCGGAGCUAGAGUAUGGUAGAGGAUAGUGGAAUUCCAGGUGUAGCGGUGAAAUGCGUAGAGAUCGGAUGGAACACCAGUGGCGAAGGCGGC